GAUGAACGCUAGCUACAGGCCUAACACAUGCAAGUCGAGGGGCAGCGGGAAGGAAGCUUGCUUUCUUUGCCGGCGACCGGCGCACGGGUGCGUAACGCGUAUCGAACCUCCCCCAUACUCGGGAAUAGCCUUGCGAAAGUAAGAUUAAUGCCCGAUGGUCUCAGAAUAUGACAUCAUGCUUUGAGUAAAGAUUCAUCGGUAUGGGAUGGCGAUGCGUCUGAUUAGAUAGUUGGCGGGGUAACGGCCCACCAAGUCAUCGAUCAGUAGGGGUUCUGAGAGGAAGGUCCCCCACAUUGGAACUGAGACACGGUCCAAACUCC
rnacentral:rRNA from 1 species